rnacentral:lncRNA from 1 species
GGAAUCAUCCCUUUGUCCAGCUGAUCCAUGCCGUAGAUGCUACCUGCUCUAAGCCAUUUUGUAGGUAUCUCAGUUAUUAGAUCGACUGUCAUGAUAUCUCAGUGCUUGUGUUCAAGGAACCCUUAUUUUACUUAAUAAUGGACCCAGAGUGUAAGAGUAGUCAUGCUGACAAUUUGGAUAUGCCAAAAAAGCCAUAAAGUAAGUAGCCUGUAUCAGCUCUAUUUACAUUUUGCCAAUUUCUCUGGGCCUCAACCUUGGCCUCUAAGGACUGCAGACUUUCAGCACAAACGAUUUCAUGUACCCCAACUGCAUUAAGACCUAAGCCAACUGUAGCAUGGUUUUUAAUAGCUCAAGGCUAUGUCCCUGGGACAACCCAGGCCCCCUUAAGCUCCUAUCUGGGAAACCUUAAGGCUGCCAGAAUAAUUUACUGUUUGUUCCAGCCAACACCUGAAGGUAGGGGCCCUGUCUCCCAGCCUCUGUGGAAAAGUAGGAGCCUAACUACAUAAGCACCAGUUAACAAGCUGAGAUGGCCAAUCACACUGAAUAGCCUCCCUCCCUGGUUUUUGUAAUUUUCCACUUCCCUGACUCUGCUGGAGCUGCCACUACCUACUUUUUCUUCUCUUUUUAAAAUGCCCAGUCACCUCCGCACAGAUUGAAAUUGAGCUCAGUUUUCACUAGACGCUCUUCCCUACUAUAGUAGUUACCGAGUAAAAUCUGUUUAUCCUGCCUUUAACUAGUGCCUGGCUUUGCUUCUCCGGCAGCUUUGCUCCCUUCUUAAAGCGGCCCUCGUUCACCACCUCCAAGCCUCCUCCUCAAUCUCCAGCAAUCAGGGUGCUAUCACUACAAAAUCCCCACUGACUCCUAGUGGCCUCUUUGCAGUGCUUAUGUUCCCAGGCCUUCUAGCACUGGAUCCUAUGCUAAGACCUUUUCUGAAAUUCCUCAAACAGAUACAUGUGUGGGGUGAUGGAUAUCCCAGUGACCUGGAUUUGAUCAUUACACCUUCUAUACAGAUAUCAAAAUAUCACAUGCAUCCCCAAAAUAUGUACAACUAUUAUAUGUCAAUAAAACAAAAUAAAAUAAAAAAGAAAUUCCCAAGUGUCCAUUGUGCUGCCAUCAGCUAGUUCUGCUCCUACUUCUCCAACUAAUUUGCUUCACUUUUCCCCCACUGGCCCUUCAAUGCUGGUGUCCCCUGGGGCUUUUCC